AUGAACGCUAGCUACAGGCUUAACACAUGCAAGUCGAGGGGCAGCAUGACCUAGCAAUAGGUUGAUGGCGACCGGCGCACGGGUGAGUAACACGUAUCCAACCUACCGGUUAUUCUGGGAUAGCCUUUCGAAAGAAAGAUUAAUACCGGAUAGUAUAACGAGAAGGCAUCUUCUUGUUAUUAAAGAAUUUCGAUAACCGAUGGGGAUGCGUUCCAUUAGUUUGUUGGCGGGGUAACGGCCCACCAAGACAUCGAUGGAUAGGGGUUCUGAGAGGAAGGUCCCCCACAUUGGAACUGAGACACGGUCCAAACUCCUACGGGAGGCAGCAGUGAGGAAUAUUGGUCAAUGGACGAGAGUCUGAACCAGCCAAGUAGCGUGAAGGAUGACUGCCCUAUGGGUUGUAAACUUCUUUUAUAUGGGAAUAAAGUGAGCCACGUGUGGCUUUUUGUAUGUACCAUACGAAUAAGGAUCGGCUAACUCCGUGCCAGCAGCCGCGGUAAUACGGAGGAUCCGAGCGUUAUCCGGAUUUAUUGGGUUUAAAGGGAGCGUAGGCGGACUAUUAAGUCAGCUGUGAAAGUUUGCGGCUCAACCGUAAAAUUGCAGUUGAUACUGGUCGUCUUGAGUGCAGUAGAGGUAGGCGGAAUUCGUGGUGUAGCGGUGAAAUGCUUAGAUAUCACGAAGAACUCCGAUUGCGAAGGCAGCUUACUGGACUGUAACUGACGCUGAUGCUCGAAAGUGUGGGUAUCAAACAGGAUUAGAUACCCUGGUAGUCCACACAGUAAACGAUGAAUACUCGCUGUUUGCGAUAUACAGCAAGCGGCCAAGCGAAAGCAUUAAGUAUUCCACCUGGGGAGUACGCCGGCAACGGUGAAACUCAAAGGAAUUGACGGGGGCCCGCACAAGCAGCGGAGCAUGUGGUUUAAUUCGAAGCAACGCGAAGAACCUUACCAGGUCUUGACAUCCCGAUGACCGGCCCGUAACGUGGCCUUCUCUUCGGAGCAUUGGAGACAGGUGGUGCAUGGUUGUCGUCAGCUCGUGUCGUGAGAUGUUGGGUUAAGUCCCGCAACGAGCGCAACCCCUAUUGUUAGUUGCCAUCAUUGAGUUGGGCACUCUAGCGAGACUGCCGGUAAUAAACCGGAGGAAGGUGGGGAUGACGUCAAAUCAGCACGGCCCUUACGUCCGGGGCUACACACGUGUUACAAUGGGGGGUACAGAAGGCAGCUACACAGCGAUGUGAUGCUAAUCCCAAAAGCCUCUCUCAGUUCGGAUUGGAGUCUGCAACCCGACUCCAUGAAGCUGGAUUCGCUAGUAAUCGCGCAUCAGCCACGGCGCGGUGAAUACGUUCCCGGGCCUUGUACACACCGCCCGUCACACCAUGAGAGCCGGGGGGACCCGAAGUCGGUAGUCUAACCGCAAGGAGGACGCCGCCGAAGGUAAAACUGGUGAUUGGGGUG
rnacentral:rRNA from 1 species